GGUAAUACGUAGGGCGCAAGCGUUGUCCGGAAUUAUUGGGCGUAAAGAGCUCGUAGGCGGCUUGUCACGUCGGGUGUGAAAGACCGGGGCUUAACCCCGGUUCUGCAUUCGAUACGGGCUAGCUAGAGUGUGGUAGGGGAGAUCGGAAUUCCUGGUGUAGCGGUGAAAUGCGCAGAUAUCAGGAGGAACACCGGUGGCGAAGGCGGAUCUCUGGGCCAUUACUGACGCUGAGGAGCGAAAGCGUGGGGAGCGAACAGGAUUAGAUACCCUGGUAGUCCACGCCGUAAACGGUGGGAACUAGGUGUUGGCGACAUUCCACGUCGUCGGUGCCGCAGCUAACGCAUUAAGUUCCCCGCCUGGGGAGUACGGCCGCAAGGCUAAAACUCAAAGGAAUUGACGGGGGCCCGCACAAGCAGCGGAGCAUGUGGCUUAAUUCGACGCAACGCGAAGAACCUUACCAAGGCUUGACAUAUACCGGAAAGCAUUAGAGAUAGUGCCCCCCUUGUGGUCGGUAUACAGGUGGUGCAUGGCUGUCGUCAGCUCGUGUC
rnacentral:rRNA from 1 species